rnacentral:rRNA from 1 species
UACGGAGGGUGCGAACGUUAAUCGGAAUCACUGGGCGUAAAGCGCGCGUAGGCGGUUUGUUAAGUGGGAUGUGAAAUCCCCGGGCUUAACCUGGGAAUUGCAUUUCAAACUGGCCGACUAGAGUACGGUAGAGGGAGGUAGAAUUUCCUGUGUAGCGGUGAAAUGCGUAGAUAUAGGAAGGAACAUCAGUGGCGAAAGCGACUUCCUGGACCAGUACCGACGUUCAGGCACGAAAGCGUGGGGAGCAAACAGG